UCGGGUUAAUAUUCCCGAACCCGGCAUCGGAUACGCCAGGCUUCGGCCUGGCAAAUGCGGUAACGCAAAUGAACUCGGAAACGCUGACACGUGCCCUAGAAAGAGUUGUCUUUUCUUCAUAAGGCUCAGGCUCCCUGGAAUCGGAUCAUCCGGCGAUAGGGAGAUGGAGUCCGUAGAGCACCGCGGUUCUUGCGGUGUCUGGUGCGCACGUGUCGGUCCUUGAAACUCCGAGGGAGAGUGUGAUUUUCGUGCCGGAUCGUACCCAUAUCC
rnacentral:rRNA from 1 species